ACAUUUCUUCGUCAGCCGAUGUCGUUAAGCUGUCGGUGUCGUUACGGCCGUGCACGUGCUGUUAGCUGUACGCCUGGGGCGCGAGCGUGUCAGCGUCAUUUCCGUCACUUCACUUCUUCAGUUUUUCUGCUAUUCUUUGAAAGGCAGCAAACAUGCCGUCGUCGCGUGGUUCUCGCAGUGCUCGAACAACUGCCCAGCAAUACGAGAUUAUGGCCCGAUGCAUGCAAACCAACGGUAAUUUAUUCCGAGGGGCAUUUUCGUCCACAUAUACUUAUCAAGAUCGGGACAGAGACUGGGAAGACUUAGCGGCCAGGCUGAAUGCAGUUGGAGGUGCCGUGAAAACUGUGCCGAAGUGGCGGAAGGCAUGGCAGGACUGAAGGUCCUACGUAAAAGCUAAAGGUGCACGGAUCCGCGCUUGGCAGAACAGAACUGGGGGCGGUCCGCCCUGCACUGAGAGGUUAACCGAUGCAGAAGAAAUUCUUGUUAGCCUCAUGGGAGACGUGUGCAUUGUGGGUGUCGCUACCACCCCAGAGGCUGGAAUUUCCCUGAUGGCCAAUGCUCUAUCUGAAGGUCAGCCACCCGCUGCUGACCACUUGGAGACAAACUGCGACGACGCAGUAAACGAGGGGUAGAAUGCAAUCGAGCAGUCUCACAAGCAACACAGAUAGCUUCUCAGGUGGAAGACACUGAUACAGCAACAGCUGCCGACGAUGCUGCUGAUAUGAAUGCGUCGCAAGAUGGUGAACCACAGAUGUCACCGGACGUGACUCAAGAACCCAGACACAGGAGGCGGAGCAGAAUAAGUACAGGUCGAAUUUUCUUGUCUCUGUCUUGACAUUGUGAAGUAUAUUUACAGGGGCCAUUAGACAGCAGUACCAGAAUGAAGUCGGCCAGGGCUUCCUAUCCCUUCAGACCAAACAACAAGAGCAGCUGGGCCGUAUAUACGACUCGUUGACAGAACUUGUAAACGCGGUCAAUAGGGUCGCCGCCGCAGAGGAGCAACAAACUAUUGCUCUUCAAGAAAUUAUUGAACUCCUUACUGUAAGCACACAUUUAUUUUUGUACGCACUUUGGGUGCAAAGCAUACAAAACCUUUAGACAUCAUAAAGCAAUAUCACACUGCGUAUAAUUGACUUCGAAUUCGGUCCCUGACCCUUGCCCCUCCAGCUCGAGUUUCUUCCCGAUCGGCUUGGCUGUGUGUGUCAAACAUUUCAGAGUCUAUCUCUGGGGGAUCCUCCAGCUCAACGCCCUCUCUCAAACAAAUGUUGUGUAGAAUUGCACAGGAAUUUAUAAUUAUCCCAGCUACACUUGGUGAAUAGUGCAGUGCUCUAUGUCUAUGUAGGCACCGGAAGCGGCUCCUCAAAAGUCCGUUGCACUGCUCGAUGACUGCCCGUGCCUUCUGAUGUCGAACAUUAAAAGUUGCUUUCGAUGAAUCAGAUGCUGCCUCCGAUUCAGCAUAGGGCACCAUGAGCCACGGCUCCAGGGGUAUCAGCUAUCGCCUGCGAGAAAGGAAUAUGGUGUGGUGACAGACGUACGAAACAGCCCUUACCAGUGAGCCAUGAGUUCGUUCUUGGCAUCCUGUUGCAGGACAGUGCAUCGCGCAGUGCGGAAUUCUUCCAUAUGAAUGCAUCAUGAGUGCUCCCUGGGUACUUCGCAUUCACAUUUAGUAUCUCCGUUUCCGAGGAUCGCUUCAGAAGCAGUACGGGUGGCCAUUGUGCUGUUGUAAAGGGUUGACUAUCCCUUUCAGGGCUACAAUGCCAGGUAUUGCUUGUUGCAGCUACGUAUUUUUAACGUAUUUUUAGCGUAACGUAUUUUUAAAACGCUACCGGUGGCCUAUUGAGGGGAGAAAAAGAGAAGUACCCCGGAACAUUGUUUUUGCUGAUUGUCAUAGUUGAUUAUGUAAAGCCCAGUCAUUAAUGGUCAUUGCUGUUCUGUGCUAUAAAGUCCUCAUUACCAGUGCCACUGAUUCUGAUCACUUUCCGCGAAUCAUAAAAUGUAAAAUAAAAUCAUAAAAUGUACCGUAUUUUCACGCGUAUUAACCGCACCGCAGAUAAGCUGCAGUACUCGUUUUUAGAUACAUUUUGAAAAUGUUUUUGCAGAUAAGCCGCACUCGCAGAUAAGCCGCGGGUAUUACGACGCGACUGCUUUGUGCGCUAAACCAGUGAUGCACAUACAAAAUCAACAGAGACGCUCAACGCUCGUCGGCGCCGUACUCCCUGCCAGCUGCCUGUUUCCGUACUGGUCCGCGAAGUCGACGACUCUUAGUUUGAAGCCGCUGUUGUAGCUGUGCGCCCGCGUUGGAGCCAUGCCUCACCUCUAACUGCCGUGCCCGUGUCCACGAAUGCUGCUGCUCUCGUCAAAUGAGAACUGACGCUUAGCUGACCACGUUUUAUCCCGAUGUCAAGUGUAUUGAACCCUUCCUGUGGGUCUGCCGACAGAGGAGACCGUAGGGAAGGCCAUAAACCCAGUCCACAUUCCGGUGUCGGCAUGUUGUAUAACAAAGGAGGUCAGUUCUAGUGCUCUACUAAGGUCGGAUUGUGCCCUUGUUGUGUGUUUUUCGUGGAUUGACGGGUUAGUGAUGUUCCAGGAGACAUGAAUCACUGUCACCCCUUUUGCUAAAGCUGCAUGGGAGAAUGUAUUCGGAAGGUCAGCCCACUCGAAUGUGGUGUGGACCCGCUCCUGUUCGGUAUUGUUCGUGCACUGGCAGGGCGGUCCUGUUCCGAAAAACAUGAGGCACUCUCGGCUCUUUCGUUUAAUCCGGGGUAUGAGGAAAGUACCAGGGAAAAAUAGUCACCAGAUAAGUCGCACCCGCGGAUAAGCCGCAGAGCGUCCGCGAAAAAAAAAUCGCGCAUAAGCCGCGGCUAAUACGCGUGAAAAUACGGUAGUUAAUUAAAGCCUCCAUGGUGUGGGAACCACCCUGCAAUGGCAACAUUGUACAGUUCUGCUCUACUUAAAAUAGUAGAUCUGCAAUAAAUGAUGAUUGGGUGCAUUGCUGUAGUACAGGUGGAGUGUUGAUUUUUUCAGACACUCAAACGUGCUCAAAACACGUAUACUAAAACGUGAUAACGGCGAUAACUGCCGAAAUGAAGAGUUUUUAAAUAACAAAGCCACGUACCAAAUCGUUAAAUUUGUGGUUAGUAUUUGGGCGUCGCUAUGUGAAAGCCACUGCUCGCUGCAAGUUCUCCUGCGUCCGC